CCAGUCGGCUGGACGGCCGCCGCUUUCGCGGAGGAAAGUCCGGGCUCCAUGGAGACACGGUGCCGGAUAACGUCCGGCGGGGGCAACCCUAGGGAAAGUGCCACAGAAAUCAGACCGCCUCGGCCUAUUGCCGAGGUCAGGGUGAAAAGGUGCGGUAAGAGCGCACCGCGGACCCGGCAACGGGGACGGCACGGCAAACCCCACCGGGAGCAAAACCGAAUAGGGGUGGCGCGGACGGGCCUUCGGGUCGCGUCCAGGCCCGUCUCCGGGUCGCCGCCCGGGUUGGUUGCUUGAGGCGGCGCGCAAGCGUCGUCCCAGAGGAAUGGCCGUCACGUCCGGGGGCAACCCCGGGCCCUACAGAACCCGGCUUACAGGCCGGCUGGCACC
rnacentral:RNase_P_RNA from 1 species